GACGAACGCUGGCGGCGUGCUUAACACAUGCAAGUCGAACGGAAAGGCCUGCUUUCCCUUGUGGAUUGCGGGUACUCGAGUGGCGAACGGGUGAGUAACACGUGAGUGAUCUGCCCCCAACUUGGGUAUAAGCCUGGGAAACUGGGUCUAAUUCCCGAUAGGACUGCAGGGUGGUGCCUGUGGUGGAAAACGAUUUUCUAGUGGUUGGGGGUGAGCUCGCGGCCUAUCAGCUUGUUGGUGGGGUAAUGGCCUACCAAGGCGGCGACGGGUAGCCGGCCUGAGAGGGUGGACGGCCACAGUGGGACUGAGAUACGGCCCAGACUCCUACGGGAGGCAGCAGUGGGGAAUAUUGCACAAUGGGCGGAAGCCUGAUGCAGCGACGCCGCGUGGGGGAUGACGGCCUUCGGGUGGUAAACUCCUUUCGACCGCGAGGAAGCCACCUGGUUGGAAGGGUGGUGACGGUAGUGGUAGAAGAAGCACCGGCUAACUACGUG
rnacentral:rRNA from 1 species